rnacentral:rRNA from 1 species
GACGAACGCUGGCGGCGUGCUUAACACAUGCAAGUCGAACGGAAAGGCCCUGCUUUUGUUGCGUGCUCGAGUGGCGAACGGGUGAGUAACACGCGAGUAACAUGCCCUUGACUUUCUGAUAACUCCUGGAAACUCCGGCUAAUACCGGAUAGGAGCUCCUGCUCCAUGUGGUGGGUUUGAAAAUUUCGGCGGUUGGGGAUGGACUCGCGGCUUAUGAGCUUGUUGGUGGGGUAGUGGCUUACCAAGGCUUUGACGGGUAGCCGGCCUGAGAGGGUGGACGGACACAUUGUGCCUGAGAGAGGGUCCAGAAUCGAACGGGAGGCAGUGGGGGGAAAUAUUGCAGAAUGGGAGGAAGUGUGAUGCAGAAACGUUGCGUGCGUGAUAAUGGACUUCGGGUUGUAAACCGAUUUGGCCUGAGACGAAGCGUGAGUGACGGUAACGGGUAAGGAAGCACCGGCUAACUACGUG